GAGAUUGUAAUAUUGAGUUACCCAAAUUAGCUAGUCUAUUACAAACAUGAAAAAAAAACGUUUUACAAGUACUGUGUUCUUCUCUAUCUUGUUGAAAAAUAGUGAACACCCAUAGGGGAGGGUACAAAAACACUUGAAAAUUUGUUGCCACUAAGUUGUGUGCUCCUUGUUGAGACAAAACAUAUGCUACUUCAUUUCCCUCUCUAUUGUUAUGCCUAAGCAGUGGAUCUCCAACCUCGUUAACCAGUACCUGCAUUGAUCAAUUAAAUUAGUAUAAGGAGAUGAUUGUUCUGAAGAAGUUGCAGAACAUAAGUGGAUUCUGUUUCAAUUUCUAAUGGAAAACAGUGAUGCUCAAAGGCAAAAGUAAUGCCUUGAAAGAGAGCUUUAAGUUUCCACUUCAGAGGGGUUAAGGGCAUUUAUGGCUAGGUAUAAGCCUAC
rnacentral:lncRNA from 1 species